GUGAAGGAAGGGAAUUAUCAGGAUGACAGGCCUUAACACUGGAUCCUCAUCAACAUCUUCCACUAUGUCCUGAAGAUAAACUUCUAAAAGAGAAUUGUUGGUGCAAAAGGUGUACACCUACGUAACCCUUUGCUAGGUAUUGGCAUACUGACACCCAUAAAGGUAGUUCCGUUUAGGCUUCCCAAGUGGAGUCAUGUGGCUGCAGAGGAAUGAAGAAACUAGUAAUGUUGACAUCUAGUCACACAAGGCAGGCGCUGGACUUUGUCAUGGAUCAACUCUCAAGCCACUACCAUAAUUGGAGGAUGUGGAAGUGAUCAGAAGUUAUCAAAUUUUGCACACAAGCAAAACCCAAGGUAGCAUGAGGGGAAAGGGGACAGUCAUUGCUUGGAGGAACACAGGAAAGAGCAGAUUGGGAUAUAGCAACAGUUGUAUACAUUCACGUUUAUAUGAAGCAGUUGAUAUUGGAAAAGCAGUUUCCCAUUGAGUCUCAAAUGAAGAGAGUGCAGAUGAAGAGGAGGUAGGAGUCACAAGCCCUUGACCCUCAUACUAGACCCAUUACCACCCACAGGACCUUACAGUGGGAUUUCAUCUGCACCUUCAGCUUCUUCAGAGAGAGAGGUUGUUGAAGACUCUGUAUUGAACCAAGGUGCUCUACACGGUAGCCCCUACUAAGCUCCCAGCAGAUGCCAGCAUCAGUCAUCCAUUCUUCAUGUGGAUGUCUGAGCUCAUAUCAGGUGUCUGAAAGAGGCAGAUUCUGAGGAUUUGGGUCAUGAUGGCUGCCAAAGCUUCUACUCCUGACUUAAAGGGCAACAAUCCUAGGAGACCACCAGCACUUACAUCCCUGGUAGGACAUGACACCUGCUUAUGCUGUCCUGAUAUUUCCUAUUAUCUACACUGUGUGGAUGGCAUCUUUUCAGAGUCUGUGCACUGCUGAAGGGCACAGUUACGGGCACAGUUCCUGUGACUAUUUGCGCUGCUCAGAAGUGACAAAAGAGAAUUAUCAGGAUGGCAGUCCCUAUAACCAGAUGCUUAUCAACACUCUUCACUACAUUCUGAAGAUGAAUUUCUACAAGGGAAAUUG
rnacentral:lncRNA from 1 species